rnacentral:rRNA from 1 species
CGCCUGGGGAGUGCGGCCGCAAGGUUAAAACUCAAAUGAAUUGACGGGGGCCCGCACAAGCGGUGGAGCAUGUGGUUUAAUUCGACGCAACGCGAAGAACCUUACCUGGCCUUGACAUGCAGAGAACUUUCCAGAGAUGGAUUGGUGCCUUCGGGAACUCUGACACAGGUGCUGCAUGGCCGUCGUCAGCUCGUGUCGUGAGAUGUUGGGUUAAGUCCCGUAACGAGCGCAACCCCUAUCCCUAGUUGCUAGCAGUUCGGCUGAGAACUCUAGGGAGACUGCCGGUGACAAACCGGAGGAAGGUGGGGAUGACGUCAGGUCAUCAUGGCCCUUACGGCCAGGGCUACACACGUGCUACAAUGGUGCGCACAGAGGGCUGCAAACCCGCGAGGGGGAGCCAAUCUCACAAAACGCAUCGUAGUCCGGAUCGCAGUCUGCAACUCGACUGCGUGAAGUCGGAAUCGCUAGUAAUCGUGAAUCAGAAUGUCACGGUGAAUACGUUCCCGGGCCUUGUACACACCGCCCGUCACACCAUGGGAGUGGACUGCACCAGAAGUGGUUAGUCUAACCUUCGGGAGGACGAUCACCACGGUGUGGUUCAUGACUGGGGUGAAGUCGUAACAAGGUAACCGUA